ACAAUUCUGUUGGCAUGGUCAUGGUGGACAUCUCACUCCUAAGUGGACUGAUGCCAAACAUCAAGGAUUUGGAACAGAUCACAGAAACCGAGGAGUGUCUUCAGUUUGGUGCUGACCAGAUUGUGUCCCAUGGGACUUGUCCAACCUGCUCCUGCUGUCAUCUAUGACUAUUACAGCCCAGAAAAGAGAUGUGGCAUAUUCUAUACAGCCCCUCAGAAAAGCCCAAUGAUCUCCAAACUGUGUAGUGGGAUGUGUGUACAUGUGCAGAAGGUGGUUGUCCAAACCUGAAAGUCACCUUCAGCAAGAAUAUGAAAACUAACACCCGGAGCAGAUAUGCAUGCUACGAUCCUAUCGUUGACUAUGUUUACGUGAUUAAAAUGAUCACUCAAGCAGAGAUGAAGUGUUUAUGCACUAUACCACAUUGAUCACUGAUGUUCU